AGUGAACGCUGGCGGUAGGCCUAACACAUGCGAGUCGAACGGCAGCACAGUAAGAGCUUGCUCUUACGGGUGGCGAGUGGCGGACGGGUGAGGCAUACAUCGGAAUCUACUUUUUCGUGGGGGAUAACGUAGGGAAACUUACGCUAAUACCGCAUACGACCUACGGGUGAAAGCAGGGGAUCUUCGGACCUUGCGCGAUUGAAUGAGCCGAUGUCGGAUUAGCUAGUUGGCGGGGUAAAGGCCCACCAAGGCGACGAUCCGUAGCUGGUCUGAGAGGAUGAUCAGCCGCACUGGAACUGAGACACGGUCCAGACUCCUACGGGAGGCAGCAGUGGGGAAUAUUGGACAAUGGGCGCAAGCCUGAUCCAGCCAUACCGCGUGGGUGAAGAAGGCCUUCGGGUUGUAAAGCCCUUUUGUUGGGAAAGAAAAGCAGCAGGUUAAUACCCCGCUGUUCUGACGGUACCCAAAGAUUAAGCACCGGCUAACUUCGUG
rnacentral:rRNA from 1 species